GAGUUUGAUCGUGGCUCAGGAUGAACGCUGGCGGCGUGCUUAAGACAUGCAAGUCGAGCGGGGCCUGAUAGCAAUAUUGGGUCCAGUGGCGAAUGGGUGCGUAACACGUAGGUAACCUGCCCGGAAGUGGGGAAUAACAGUCCGAAAGGACUGCUAAUACCCCAUACGAUUGCGGGAACGAGAGUUCCUGUUCUCAAAGGUCCGGUAACGGAUCGCUUCCGGAGGGGCCUGCGGCCCAUCAGCUAGUUGGUUGGGUAACGGCCAACCAAGGCAACGACGGGUAGGGGACCUCAGAGGGUGGCCCCCCACACUGGCACUGACACACGGGCCAGACUCCUACGGGAGGCAGCAGUCGGGAAUAUUGCCCAAUGCGCGAAAGCGUGAGGCAGCAACGCCGCGUGCGCGAUGAAGGCCUUCGGUCGGUAACCUACUUUCAGCACAGACGAAGACG
rnacentral:rRNA from 1 species